CUCAGCACCCCAAAAACCCAAAAUUCCACCCCAAAAACCCCAAAAUCAACCCCAAAAACCCCAAAAUCCGCCCCAAAAACCCCAAAAUCUGCCCCAAAAACCCCAAAUUCCACCCCAAAAACCCCAAAAUUCACCCCAAAAACCCCAAAACCAAACCUGGGACUCCCAUUUUUGGGGUCCCCUCCCCAUUUUUGGGGGCCCCCUCCCCAUUUUCAGUCUCCCCCUCCCCAAUUUCGGGGGUCCCAAACCCAUUUUUGGGGUCCCUCUCCCCAUUUUCCAUCUCCCUCUCCCCAUUUUUGGUCUCCCCCUCCCCAUUUCGGGGGUCCCAAACCCAUUUUCGGGGGUCCCAAACCCAUUUUCAGUCUCCCCCUCCCCAUUUUUGGGGGUCCCAAUCUCCCCCUCCCCAUUUCGGGGGUCCCAAACCCAUUUUCGGGGGUCCCAAACCCAUUUUCAGUCUCCCCCUCCCCAUUUUUGGGGGUCCCAAACCCAUUUUCAGUCUCCCCCUCCCAAUUUUUGGGGUCCCUCUCCCCAUUUUCGGGGGUCCCCUCCCCAUUUUUGGGGGCCCCAAACCCAUUUUCCAUCUCCCCCUCCCCAUUUUUGGGGGUCCCAAACCCGUUUUUCGUCUCCCUCUCCCAAUUUUUGGGGUCCCUCUCCCCAUUUUCGGGGGUCCCCUCCCCAUUUUUGGGGGUCCCAAACCCAUUUUCCAUCUCCCCCUCCCCAUUUUUGGGGGUCCCAAGCCCAUUUUCAGUCUCCCCCUCCCCAAUUUCGGGGGUCCCCUCCCCGAUUUUGGGGGUCCCGAACCCAUUUUCGGGGUCCCUCUCCCCAUUUUCGGGGUCCCUCUCCCCGAUUUCGGGGUCCCCCCGCGGUUUUGGGGGUCCCCCCGCGGGUUUUGGGGGUCCCCGUACCCCGACUCUGCGCAGCCGCCGUCCCGCCGUGCUCAGCACUCCCCGGGCCAGAUGUUCCAGCGGCCCCGGGCCCGGGGGGGGCCCCCCUGGAGCCCCCAGGGACCCCCCAAAAAUUCCCACCACGGCCGCCUCCGCCAUCGGGGGGGGGACCCCAAAAUCCUGCGGGAGAAAAGGGAAUUCAGGCCCUAAAAUCCAUUGGGGACCCCAAAAUCCAUCGGGGAACCCCAAAAUCCAUCAGGGAACCCCAAAAUCCUGCGGGAGAAAAGGGAAUUCAGGCCCUAAAAUCCAUCAGGGAACCCCAAAAUCCAUCGGGGACCCCAAAAUCCUGCGGGAGAAAAGGGAAUUCAGGCCCUAAAAUCCAUUGGGGACCCCAAAAUCCAUCAGGGAACCCCCAAAUCCAUCGGGAACCCCAAAAUCCAUCAGGAACCCCAAAAUCCUGCGGGAACCCCAAAAUCCUGCGGGAAAAACAGAAUUCAGGCCCUAAAAUCCAUCAGGGAACCCCAAAAUCCAUCGGGGAACCCCAAAAUCCUGCGGGAUUCCCCCAAAUCCUGCCCCAAAUCCAUCGGGAACCCCAAAUUCCUGCGGGAAAAGCUGAAAUUCGGGUCCCAAAAUCCAUCGGGAACCCCAAAUUCCAUCAGGGAACCCCAAAAUCCAUCGGGGACCCCCCAGAUCCUUUGGGGAACCCCAAAUUCCUGCGGGAAAAAAAUGGAAUUCCGCUCCCCAAAUCCAUCGGGAACCCCCAAAAUCCACCCGGGACCCCCCAAAAUCCACCCGGGACCCCCCAAAU
ensembl:lncRNA